CAAUAGCGUAUAUUAAAGUUGUUGCGGUUAAAAAGCUCGUAGUUGGAUCUUGGCAGGCAGGGGGUGGUUCGCUCUUAGCGCUACUGCCCCAUUUGCCUGUGUGAUUGGCGGAGGUUUCGGGGUGCUCUUCGUUGAGUGACCCGGGGCGCCGUCAGGUUUACUUUGAAAAAAUUAGAGUGCUCAAAGCAGGCUUUUCACGCUUGAAUAUUCGUGCAUGGAAUAAUGGAAUAGGAACUCGUUUCUAUUUUGUUGGUUUUCGGAAAUCGAGUUAAUGAUUAAUAGGGACAAUUGGGGGCAUUAGUAUUCAGACGACAGAGGUGAAAUUCUUGGACCGUCUGAAGACUAACUACUGCGAAAGCAUUUGCCAAGAGUGUUUUCAUUAA
rnacentral:rRNA from 1 species